AACAAAGUUUUGUUUAAAUACUAUAUAUUGAAAUCGUGGAAAAUAAUAAGAGGAAUAAGAGUGCAGCGAGCCUAGCUGAGUAAUAUUUUGUGAUUAAUUUUGGAAAACUAUUGAGAUAUAUAUAUGAUAUAUAUAUUUCUCACGUGGCCAUCAAUACUGGCA